GAGUUAUGCUAUGCAGAGACACAUUAGAACACACACGGGUGAUAAACCGUAUAAAUGUGAUAUAUGUGGUAAAAGGUGUAAUCAGAGUUAUGCUAUGCAGAGAGACAUAAGAACACACACGGGUGAUAAACCGUAUAAAUGUGAUAUAUGUGGUAAAGGUGUAAUCAGUGUUAUGCUAUGCAGAGACACAUUAGAACACACAUGGGUGAUAAACCGUAUAAAUGUGGUAUAUGUGGUAAAAGGUGUAAACAGAGUUAUGCUAUGCAGAGACACAUUAGAACACACACGUGUGAUUAACCGUAUAAAUGUGAUAUAUGAGGUAAAAGGUGUAAUCAGAGUUAUGCUAUGCAGAGACACAUUAGAACACACACGUGUGAUGAACCGUAUAAAUGUGAUAUAUGUAUAGUAAAGGAUUUGGUGAGAACUCAACUUUGCAGAAACACAUGAGAAUACAUACUGGUGAUACACCUUAUAGAUGUGAUAUGUGUAGAAGAGAGUUUGGUGAUCGUUCAAGCUGGCACAAACAUGUUAGAAGACACAUUUGUGAUAAUGAAA
rnacentral:lncRNA from 1 species